UUGGAGGGCAAGUCUGGUGCCAGCAGCCGCGGUAAUUCCAGCUCCAAUAGCGUAUAUUAAAGUUGUUGCAGUUAAAAAGCUCGUAGUUGAAUUUCGGGGUCAGUAGGCUGGUCGUGCCUCAGGUACGUACUGGUCUUACUGAUUCCUCCUUCCUGAUGAACCGUAAUGCCAUUAAUUUGGUGUUGCGGGGAAUCUGGACUGUUACUUUGAAAAAAUUAGAGUGUUUAAAGCAGGCUAACGCUUGAAUACAUUAGCAUGGAAUAAUGAAAUAGGACGAUCGAUCCUAUUUUGUUGGUUUCUAGGAUUGACGUAAUGAUUAAUAGGGAUAGUUGGGGGCAUUAGUAUUCAAUUGUCAGAGGUGAAAUUCUUGGAUUUAUUGAAGACUAACUACUGCGAAAGCAUUUGCCAAGGAUGUUUUCAUUAAUCAAGAACGAAAGUUAGGGGAUCGAAGACGAUCAGAUACCGUCGUAGUCUUAACCAUAAACUAUGCCGACUAGGGAUCGGAUGAUGUUAAUUUUUUAAUGACUCAUUCGGCGCCUUACGGGAAA
rnacentral:rRNA from 1 species